CUACCGGCGUCGAGAGGCGACGGGACGCGCGCUCAGAAGUCAGCAGAGGCCAUAGUAGGUGCCGAUAUGGACCGAAGGGC
rfam:Reticulomyxa filosa contig37031_1.exp, whole genome shotgun sequence.